GUGCUUGCUUCGGCAGCACAUAUACUAAAAUUGGAACUAUACGGAGAAGAUUAGCAUGGCCCCUGUGCAAGGAUGAUACACAAAUUCUGAAGCAUUGGAUAUUUAA